rnacentral:rRNA from 1 species
GACGAACGCUGGCGGCGUGCCUAACACAUGCAAGUCGAGCGAGAUCCAUCCGGUAGCAAUACUGGUGAAGAUCUAGCGGCGAACGGGUGAGUAACACGUGAGAAACCUGCCCGAAGACCGGGAUAACCCGAGGAAACUCGGGCUAAUACCGGAUGUCCCCACCAGGUCACAUGUCCAGGUGAGGAAAUGCUCCGGCGCUUUGGGAGGGUCUCGCGGCCUAUCAGCUAGUUGGUGAGGUAAUGGCUCACCAAGGCAUCGACGGGUAGCUGGUCUGAGAGGACGAUCAGCCACACUGGGACUGAGACACGGCCCAG